UACGAAGGGGGCUAGCGUUGUUCGGAUUUACUGGGCGUAAAGCGCACGUAGGCGGAUCGAUCAGUCAGGGGUGUAAUCCCAGAGCUCAACUCUGGAACUGCCUUUGAUACUGUCGAUCUGGAGUAUGGAAGAGGUGAGUGGAAUUCCGAGUGUAGAGGUGAAAUUCGUAGAUAUUCGGAGGAACACCAGUGGCGAAGGCGGCUCACUGGUCCAUUACUGACGCUGAGGCGCGAAAGCUAGGGGAGCAAACGGG
rnacentral:rRNA from 1 species